rnacentral:rRNA from 1 species
UACGUAGGGUGCAAGCGUUAAUCGGAAUUACUGGGCGUAAAGCGUGCGCAGGCGGUUUUGUAAGUCUGUCGUGAAAUCCCCGGGCUUAACCUGGGAAUUGCGAUGGAGACUGCAAGGCUAGAAUCUGGCAGAGGGGGGUAGAAUUCCACGUGUGAGCAGUGAAAUGCGUAGAGAUGUGGAGGAACACCGAUGGCGAAGGCAGCCCCCUGGGUCAAGAUUGACGCUCAUGCACGAAAGCGUGGGGAGCAAACAGG